ACGGAAGGCAGCAGUGGGGAAUAUUGCACAAUGGGCGAAAGCCUGAUGCAGCAACGCCGCGUGAAGGACGACGUAUUUCGGUAUGUAAACUUCUAUCAGCAGGGAAGAAAAUGACGGUACUUGACUAAGAAGCUCCGGCUAAAUACGUGCCAGCAGCCGCGGUAAUACGUAUGGAGCAAGCGUUAUCCGGAUUUACUGGGUGUAAAGGGAGCGUAGACGGCAAAGCAAGUCUGAAGUGAAAUCCCGGGGCUCAACCCCGGAACUGCUUUGGAAACUGUUUAGCUAGAGUGCAGGAGAGGUAAGCGGAAUUCCUAGUGUAGCGGUGAAAUGCGUAGAUAUUAGGAGGAACACCAGUGGCGAAGGCGGCUUACUGGACUGUAACUGACGUUGAGGCUCGAAAGCGUGGGGAGCAAACAGGAUUAGAUACCCUGGUA
rnacentral:rRNA from 1 species